AACGCUUUCCCAUCCCCUCUCCCCUUUCUCUCGUACGAAUAGUACGCCUAGGUGUCGAAAUCUCCUCUCCCCUCUCGUCCUUUCCCUCAAAUCGGAUGGUUAUCCUUUUCAAUCCGUUGAAAUUGUACAAAGGUCGACAGCUUUCAUCCCUAUCUUAAGGAUUUCGAAUUCAACUUGGGAGGUGAAAUCUUAAUCUUACCCCAGCCUUUUUUGAGAUUUCCUCCGCUCUCCACCAUUCGAAAAUCGUUAUCCAUGGCUAUAUAUAUUUUCAUUUGCUCACUGUUUGGUGGGGGGAUUUUUUUUUUUGGAGAGAAAUUUUUAUGUCUUGUUAUAGAAAAGAAAAGAAAUAUUAAAAGAGUUUAUUCAUAGGAAGAUUUUACAAUAGUUUAAGCACACCUAUAAAUCUAUUGAAGUUGAAUUCAAAAUAGAAAGAUUGUGCAGUUUUUUUUUUAUUAUUAUUAUUCGAAUUCGAAGUUGUGUAGUGGAAGGUCAUUCGCGUGCUCGCACUGUCCAAUUCGUUGCUUGUAGAAAGGUAAUGCUUUUUUUUCUCUUCCUUUUACUCAUGUUUUGCUUCAGUGAUAAAUGUGAUACAAUGAAUGUUGUUUGUUCCUCUGUUCCGUCCCUGUUUUGGCUUAUUCGUUUCGAUUCUUAUACUCUUCUUCGAAGGAUUGCUUGGUGCGAUUGAUUCGUUGUUGAACACGAUGGGAUAUGUGUUUUUGUUGUUUGCUUUGGUUCUUCACUGUUUUUCCUUACCCGUUUCAACUUUUUCACCCCUCGUCGAGAGAUUGUUGUUGGGAUUUCUGAUUGAUCAUUGUUCAUCGUCUUAGUUACGUGUUUGAAUCAUUUGUUUUGUUGGUACUGUUAGUGAUAGGUUUCCUUUUAGUUUCAAGUUCCUGGUACUGUUUUUGAGUUUAAAUGUUUGGCAGUAUUGCCAUUUUCCUUGUCUUCUUUUUCCUAUACUCAUUGAUAUGUUUUGUAAUUGCUAAUAAAAAAAAUUCUUUAUUAUUAAGCUUCAUUCUUUGCCUGUUCUGUGUUAAUAUCUCUGCAAUGCUCAUCUGUUACUCACCAAAUGCCUAUCAUGUGCAUGUAGUUUCGCUUAUUUCGUUAAACUCAUACGUUUGUAUAUCCACACCGUAGUCUUUGUUUAGCUGUAAGAAAUGUUCAUGUUUCCCUCUAUAUUAAAGUAGUUCUACCUUAUAUGACUAGUUGGGGUUGUUUGAUGUCAAUUGUAUGAUUUAUCAUAGUCAUCUUGUCAACUGGUGAUAUUAAUGUUAUGAUAUGAUAUUGAGUUCUACCAUCCUAAUUCCUUCUCUUUUGUUUGUUUGAUUGCAUGUGAAAUCACUUUCGAGGUCCCAUGGACUUCAUUCCCAUCUCUUGCACUUCCUCGUUGAGCCAUAAAGGCUCGAAACACCUUUCCCGUGUCAGUCAACCCCCCUGAAAGGAUGUACAGGUCGGGAAAAACCAGCAGAAACUGCUGGAAAAAUUUGUUGCAGGGAUUUGAAGAAGAUGUAUACAGCAGUAUAUAUAUUUUAUGCAAAGUUGUAUGCUGAUAUAUAGGUUGAAGGCGUACAGAUGGAUCCAAAUUUGAAAUCUGGAUUGAUGACAGGGAAAAUACAAUUCUGAACAGGAGUUUUCAACUUUCAAAAGUUGAAAAACAGGAUGAUAUACAGACUGUAUACACAGAUAUACAGGGACGGUAUACCUUAAAUAUGUGUAAAAAAUGUGAAUUGCAAGUUAACGUACGGGGACGCCGAUUUUAAAUAAAAUACAGGACUAGACAAUGAAUACGUACAUAGGGUGCAGCCCGUAUACAUUGGUAUACAUCUUUUGGGUGAUGAUAUACAAUUGUUAAACAGGGCGAAAUACAGGGGAAAUAGCUGAAAAUGUGUACUUAAACAAAUGCAGGGCUCAAAAGGUCCAAAAUGGAUCGGAUAUACACCGUAUACAACAGUAUACAUCGUUUGUAUACUUUAUGUCUCAUUUUUCAGGAAAUUGGGCCAGGGCCCUUCAGUCCCCUUUUAUUAACAAGCCCAAAGGCCAUUUGUUUCUGCAGGUUUUUUUAAAAAAAAAAAAAAGCCAAAGCCCAAUUGAAUGAAUUUGGGCAAUUAAGCCCAAGUUCAAAUACUUUCUCUCUUUAUUUAAUAUUUGUUUAAAUUAAUUAGUGUUUUGGUAUAAUUUAAAUAAUCUCCUAAAGCGUAG
rnacentral:lncRNA from 1 species